GCACCCUCUCUGGGGCUUUACUGAAAAUGAGUAAGGGCCUUCCCGGUGGAGGUGGGGGAGUGUUUGUUACCGUUUCUUUUAACUCUUGAGAGUUCCAGGAUCUUAUCUUGUUUGGGGCUCACAACCCAUACUUUCAGGCAGAGUUCCUAGCUGCUUUCAAAAACAUGGAAAAAGUGAGGUCCCGGAGUCUUGGAAUUUACCCGAGGCUGAAGAAUGAUCUAGGGGCAUGAGGUCCAAGCUCCUAGCUCACUACUUGGACCCUCUCCUGAGACCUGUGGAAGGCACAUGGGCGCACACACAGAGACAGAGAAUGGCUUAUAUAUGGGGUGUUACAAGAGAAAAAAAAUGGGCAUAAACAUAGGUUGUGUUCAUCAUUGCCAAGUUCAUGCUACUGAACUACUAGGAACCCAGAUGGUUGGGCUACUUCCUAAUUAACAAAUAACUAUGCAGCCCCCACUGGUACACAGACCCUGUGUCCUUGAGGCAGGGCCUUAAGGUGCCAGGGCCCCAUCGGGGACCCAACGUCAAAGCCAGAUGAGCUGACCAGACAGGGGGGAAGUUUAACCAGAGGAUGCACCGAAAUGCAAUGUCAAGGCAGAAGACCAGCAAAUUCUUUUUUAACCUCUCAAGACCCUUUCCAAGAGUCCCCAGCCUGUCCCAGCUCUCCUCAUCUGCGGCUCUGGAAGCCCAGUGGAGGCCCACGGAGCCAAUGGGCACUCACGGGUGCCUGGGCGCAUGCCUCCCGGAUUCGAGGUUGGAGCUGCUUUCUCCCCGACCGGGUUUGAGAGCCUGUGUUCAUUUCACACUCCAGGGAGCAAGGAAAAGUACUCUGCCUGAAGGCCUGGCUUCCCGGGAGUUUCCAGAAACUGAUUUUCUAGAAAUUGCCCAAUGCCGCUAGAAUCUAUGCCAUUGUUUAAAACUGACUUCUGCCAAGGGAAAGGACGUGGAGUCAGAGGAUCGCAAAGAAUCCCUGGAUAGGACCUCAGAGAUCAAGUCCAACCUCCCUCCCUCUGAAUCCCGUAGGACAUGAUGCAAAGGCUGGUGGCAGAGAGAGAUGCUGAGAAGCAGAAGGAAUCAGGCUCGAGAAAAAAGGAGGGAAGAUAUGUGGUGUGGUGGACAGUGGGCAGAUGGUAAUGGUCUGAGCUGUGUGACCUCAGGCACGUUCUUAACCUCUCUGGGCCUCUGUGCUUUUAUCUGUAAGAUAAAAGAGUUCCUGCCGGGCAGGGUGGCUGUGAGAUCAAAGACACAUAUAUAGAGAAGAGAUGCUCCGGUGAGACUUCAGUAAGAUUCAAAUCAUUUCUAUGGCAUAAAAUGAACCACGCUCAGAAGAAAAAUUGUCCCUCAACUUGGAAGAUUACCUAUAAUGUAAAAUAUUAAUGCGUUCUCUGGGAUUUUAUUAAUUUUUUUCUGGUAUGUGUAGGUGUUGAUGGGUGGUUUAAAAAAAAAAUCUGCUUCCCUAAGUAGACAGCACCGGAUGUCCCAAUUUCCACAAAUAAAACCCUUCAUUUCUUCCAGGUUUGAAUAGUCAAAGGCUGCUUCCCUAGAGACAGUGCUGCUAAUUUUUUUUUUUUUUUUUGCAGACAUUAGAACACUAUUUAAGGAGAGUAUAUUUUCCAGUAAAGCAAAUGAUGAAAACCUUUUCCCCGGCGAUGUGGGAGAUGUUGGCAAUAUGGAGAGCUACAAUAACCCAAAUGUCCACCAGGAGAAGAGUGGAUGGAUAAUAGAAUUCAUCAACGAAGAUGAGAGAGCAACACAGAUGAGUCUCAAAAAUCGUGAUGUGGAGCAGAAGCCGGGCACAGAAGAAGCCACCCUGUAGGAUACCACUGGUCAAGAGUUAAAAAAACAGAGGGUGCCUGGGUGGCUCAGUCAGUUAAGUGGCCGACUUCGGCUCAGGUCAUGAUCUCACGGUCCGUGAGCCCGAACCCUGUGUCGGGCUCUGUGCUGACAGCUUGGAGCCUGGAG